rnacentral:ncRNA from 1 species
GAGAGCCACGUGAUAUGGAAACAGUCAUGCGUGGUUCGGAGAGGGGUUGUUGGAAAAGUGCUUAACAGUAACUCGUUGGCUACCUACUCUAC